rnacentral:lncRNA from 1 species
GAGAGAGAGAGAGAGAGAGAGAGAGAGAGAGAGAGAGAGAGAGAGAGAGAGAGAAGAGGAGAGAGAGAGAGAAUAUAAUAUGUGAAGAGAGAGAGAGAGAGAGAGAGAGAGAGAGAGAGAGAGAGAGAGAGAGAGAGAGAGAGAGAGAGAGAGAGAGAGAGAGAGAGAGAGAGAGAGAGAGAGAGAGAGAGAGAGAGAGAGAGAGAGAGAGAGAGAGAGAGAG